CGCCCUGGGGGCCGCCAUCUUGAGACACCGCUGCCGUCUGGAAGGGGAGGCGCCCGUGUUGGGAGCCGGUGAUGCUGAGAAGGGUAAUUAAAGUAACCCUGGGCACCGCGGUUAUUGUGCCACGCUGCCCACCCAAGGCCGUGUAAAUUCUCAGGUCGGCCUGACCACAAAAUUUUAUUGGAUCAAGAGGAAGACUCUGGGCAGUGAAGGGACAAGAGUCCCCUGAGAAGAUUAAGAAGGAAAGAAAAGGAAGGUCACGUUGGAUUAAACAGGUCACAGAGAUGGGAUCUUUGAAAUAAUGGCAACUCUCAAAGCCCAGGUAGAUGAGCGCAUCUUUUGACUACAUCGCUGGAGGGUAAAACUGCCAUCUGCAUAUAAUCCAUCUUAAAAAAAAAAAAACAAAACAAAACAAGGUAGCUCAAAGGCAACAAGUACUUUUUGUUUAGUCCAUCACCGAUGUCAUCUACAUCUAGAAAGGCACCAGAUGAAAGCAACAGCAGGUGAAAGUUCUGUAAGAGCGCAGGAUGGGGACUGUCUUCUAGGGGAGAAACCUG